GUCAACACUGUUCCACACGUAGACCUGUCUCCGAUACUGAAAUACUUCAGUGUGCGGCUUUUCACCGCGCGAAGCGUUCCCCGCGUUCCGAACGCCCUCUAGCCGCCGGAUCGGCGGUGAAAACACGCGAAAAACUUUUCGUGACAUUAAAUUGUCGAAAAUUAAGUUAAAUUAUCACUUUUUUCGAUCUUAAACUGAUUCAAUUGCCAUUUAGUUGCAUUUCGUAGAUUAAAUGGUUCAUUUUAUGAAGUUUUUCAUUCAUAAAUCUUUUAAAUUUUAAUUACAAACUAAUUUGAUUAAUUAAUCAACGAGAAGUGAACUAAAAUCAACAAGUGACUUAAUUUUUAAAUUACUUUUUGACGAUAACAUAGUUUGUGAACUAAGGGCAUUUACGCGCGUUUCCAAAAAUACAAAUCUCAAUUUACUUACAAAGUCCCUUGGGUGCGUUUAUUGCCACUUUUGGCACCAUUGCGAACAAUAAGCGUUAGUUAUUUCAGUUGUGUGACUGAAAUGCGUGAGUAAUACUUAGUCGGUAAACAAGUGUUGUUAUUUGGACGCGAAAUGGAAAGGAAAAGCAAACAUUUACGCUCAUAACCAUCCCAAAAAUUCAACCUUUUAUUGUGAAAUUGUGACAAAUCAC